rnacentral:misc_RNA from 1 species
GUAGGUGAACCUGCGGAAGGAUCAUUAACACGUAUCCAACGUUAAACAACCUGUGAACCUUCAUUCCUGCUCUCCUUGGAGGCGAUGCCUGGUAAAUCACGCGAACAGUUUGAUUCAGGCACCACUUCUGGGGAUUCGAUGCGGUCGUCGUAAUUUAGACUUGGUGUCCUCACGGAUAACCGAUUAUCGGAUCACUGGUCCUCACGAUCAGUGGACAAGUCUCUGGGCUUCGGCCCCCCUUUUAUUAACC